rnacentral:rRNA from 1 species
GUCGAACGAAACUUCUUUAUCACCGAGUGCUUGCACUCACCGAUAAAGAGUUGAGUGGCGAACGGGUGAGUAACACGUGGGCAACCUGCCCAAAAGAGGGGGAUAACACUUGGAAACAGGUGCUAAUACCGCAUAACCAUAGUUACCGCAUGGUAACUAUGUAAAAGGUGGCUAUACUACCGCUUUUGGAUGGGCCCGCGGCGCAUUAGCUAGUUGGUAGGGUAAAGGCUUACCAAGGCAAUGAUGCGUAGCCGAAUUGAGAGGUUGAUCGGCCACAUUGGGACUGAGACACGGCCCAAACUCCUACGGGAGGCAGCAGUAGGGAAUCUUCCACAAUGGGCGAAAGCCUGAUGGAGCAACGCCGCGUGGGUGAAGAAGGUCUUCGGAUCGUAAAACCCUGUUGUUAGAGAAGAAAGUGCGUGAGAGUAACUGUUCACGUUUCGACGGUAUCUAACCAGAAAGCCACGGCUAACUACGUGCCAGCAGCCGCGGUAAUACGUAGGUGGCAAGCGUUAUCCGGAUUUAUUGGGCGUAAAGGGAACGCAGGCGGUCUUUUAAGUCUGAUGUGAAAGCCUUCGGCUUAACCGGAGUAGUGCAUUGGAAACUGGGAGACUUGAGUGCAGAAGAGGAGAGUGGAACUCCAUGUGUAGCGGUGAAAUGCGUAGAUAUAUGGAAGAACACCAGUGGCGAAAGCGGCUCUCUGGUCUGUAACUGACGCUGAGGUUCGAAAGCGUGGGUAGCAAACAGGAUUAGAUACCCUGGUAGUCCACGCCGUAAACGAUGAAUGCUAAGUGUUGGA